GGUAACCGGGCGGUGUCCUCCACUGUGCGACUGGCUGCCAGAGCAAUAAUCAGUUCAGCGUGUACAGAAGGGGGUGCCUGCUGCCCGCCAAUAGCCACACCACUGCUGCCCGAGACAGGAGGAGAAGGUGUUUGCCGUGUGUUACUACAGGGGUAGCGCCGUGCUGACUGUAAAAAGGCAUACAUUAGUCAUAGUACGUCACUGCCGCAGCUGUACUAUGUUACAUGUAUGAGUGGUUGCAGCACAGAAUCUAGGAAGAUAGAAAGAGGUUGAAGUAAUGAGCCACGGGCGGAGAUUAUUGGACGACCCGGUGGAGGGAUACCCUCUUUAUGCACCUUAGGUUGCCGACCUUACUCUUAAGUAAGCAGACAGAGAGUCAACUGCAAGGAAAGAUUAUAUCUGAAGCAGGCACCCAGUGCCAGUGACCCAUCAAGCUGUUGUGAGUGAUACCUCCCAACUGUCCCGAUAAUCGGACACUGUCCCACGAGGGAAGCCUUUGAUCACCCGCUGCUUUGCUCUGCGCAAUGGUCCAUAUUUCACACAUCACCAAGUU